rnacentral:rRNA from 1 species
AUUGAACGCUGGCGGCAGGCCUAACACAUGCAAGUCGAACGAGUGGCGGACGGGUGAGUAAUGUCUGGGAAACUGCCUGCUGGAGGGGGAUAACUACUGGACACGGUCGCUACUACCGCAUACCAUCGGAUGUGCCACGAUGGGAUUUGCUUGUUGGUGGGGUAACGGCUCACCAAGGCGACGAUCCCUAGCUGGUCUGAGAGGAUGACCAGCCACACUGGGACGGAGACACGGCCCAGACUCCUACGGGAGGAAGCAGUGGGGAAUAUUGCACAAUGGGCGCAAGCCUGAUGCAGCCAUGCCGCGUGUAUGAAGAAGGCCUUCGGGUUGUAAAGUACUUUCAGCGGGGAGGCGUUACCCGCAGAAGAAGCACCGGCUAACUCCGUGCCAGCAGCCGCGGUAAUAC